UUUGGAGGUUUGGAGCACUGUUGGGACUUCGGAGCAUCGGAUUAUCAUUUCGAAAAGUUGUCCGUUACUAUGUUACUAUGUGAUAAUUUGGCUCUGGUACCUGUUAUUCAAUUUUUGAUCUCUGAAAGAAACUUUUGUAGGAAGGAUAAAUUUGACCAUCCACCAUUUUAUUUCUGAUUUCAUUUCAACUUUAAAUACAAUGGCAUUUAUCCAUUUGAUAAAGAUGGAAGUGAUGGGCCCACUAAUUAUUUACGGAAGCUGUAUUCUCUUUUACUUGCAUAUCUUGAAGUUUUUGAAGUUUAGUAUUGGUUUGUAUGUUCUGGAAAUGGCAAGUUUUUGGCCUGUGUGGAUUGUUGUGUUUCAUCUUAUGACAUUCUUGAUCAUAGCAAGCAACAAUGUUUUGUCAUUUACAAAUGCUGACUUCGGAAUCGAGUAUUGUUUACCCACAACAAGUGAGAUCCUGGUCGAUGUAUUGUUCUAUGCUGCAGGUGCAUUGAGUGUUUUAAAUUUAUUUCUGUUUUGGUUAACAUACUGUAUUGAUUUGGAGAUGAUCAUACCAGAAACAGUUGACUUGCACUUUUAUCAUCUUCAUAUGUUACACACACUGCCAUUGGUCAUUAUAUUGAUGGCAUUCAGUAUACAUGAUCGUAUCUUCACAAAAUCCGGAAAAGAAACAAAACUGCAUAUUGUGUUGUCUACAGCGAGGAAAAUGACUGUUACACUUUGUGCAUUAUAUAUGGUUGUGAUUUGGGUAGUAUUUGAGAUAAAAGGUGUAUGGCCAUAUCCUUUUAUGUUUUCAUUUAAUCGUGGGGAUUUUUUAAUAUUGAGCUUAUGUCUGGUGAUAUUAUCUUAUGUUUCAUCAAAAAUAUUCCAUUUCAUUUAUGUGAAUAUACAAGUUUUGAGAUGA